rnacentral:lncRNA from 13 species
AUGGGGGUGCCGCUGGUGCAGCCCCUUCCCAUCCCCACACUCGCCACGGAUGGGUGCUCUGGAAUUCUGACCCCCAAAAGUGCCCUCCCUGGCACGGCACCUCCUAAAUCCCUUCCCGGAGGUGACCAGCGAGCCCCCCCCCCCGGACUCACCGAUGAAGGGGAUGGACGCCAGCGAGUCCUCGGGGGCCGCCAAGGGAGCCACGCGCCGGUCCUGCCGCUCGCUGCCCGGCCUGUCCCCUCUGCCCGUGGCCCCGGCGGGGUCACAAAUGUCCGUGUCCUUCACCCCCUCGGGGAACACAAAGUUCAUCUGCCGCAGCGGCGCGGGCACCUUGCGCCCCGUGGGCGGCUUCUGCCGCAGCACCACCUCCUCCCUGCGCUCCUCCGGCUGCUCGGACACGCGGCUGCCCUCCGGCCGCGGCUCCCGGGGCGCGCUGGGCACCGGCGGGGUGGCGGCGGGCGGCGUGACGGGGCUGACCACGCUGUCCCUGAGCGGGGCCACCACGGCCCGCUGCGCGAUGCUGAAGGUGGGCAGCCCCCCGAAGACCGGGUCGCGGCAGGACAGGGCGUGCAGCAGCCCGGUGCGGCGCUGGAAGGACGGGCUGUAGCUGCGGUAGCCGAUGUAGCCCGAGUCAUCCACGCUCUGCAGGUUGGGCUGGGACGGGUGCUUCUGCACCGGCGGCGCCUCCCGCGACGAGGAGGAGGAGGAGGAGGAAGCAGCGAUGGAGCCGGGCGGGAUGGGCUGCCCGGCGGCGGCCACAGCCACAGCGGCCCGGCAGAGCCUCUCGGGCGGCCACGCGGAGCGGUCGAGGUGCGACGAGAGCAGCGCGCUGGGCUCCAGCGCCUCCAUGGAGCGCCCGUACCUGCUCAGGUAGUGGUCGGAGCGGGCGCGGGGGGCCCAGCCCUCGCGGCUGGGCUGCAGCAGGGUGUCGUGCGAGGCGCUGUGGGGCCAGCCCCGCGGGGCCGCGGCCCCGGAGCCCCCGAGGCGGUCCUGGGACACGCUGCGGUAGCGGGGCAUGGCGUGCCGCCGCUCCUCCGAAGCGCUGCGCCGCGGCUCCUGGCUGCAGAACCAGCGCGACAGCGCCUGCUGGCACUCCUGGCGACCGGGCACACGCUGGGCCCCCGACACGUCCCGGGGGGGCCGCCCGGCUCCCGAGAGUCCCCCGACUCCCUCCUUGAAGCCGCAGUGAGUCCGGUGCUCCGGGAGGUGCUUGGGGACGCCGUAGCAGGAGGCGGCGGCGGGGGACAUCCCGUAGCGGUCGGGCACGGAGGAUGCGACGUUGGCGGGGCAGGCGGGGCGGGAGAAGGAGCCGGGGUGCCCGUGGGGUGCGGCGGGGAGCCCGGGGGGACCCCCGGGCUGCGGCUCCUCGGAGCGGUGCGCGGGGCUGCCGCCGCUGUCGCUGCGGGCGCCGAGCGGGGACGAGGGACCGGUGGUGGCCGGGCGGGGGGCGCGGGGGUCCGGCGGCUGGCCCGGGGCGGACUCGGCACCCCGGGCCUGGAAGGGGUACGUUUUCCGUGGGUAGCAGAUGGGAGGGGGCUCGGGAAUGCUCUGAGCCCCCCCGGAGUACGG